CAAGUAUUUCCGUCAGCAGUUUAUUCCUGGGUAGCGGUAUUUGUGAUGCCACUGAACGCAGCUUUAAACCCAUUUCUUUACACGUUUUCAACAUUAAAAGAGAAACCAAAUAUUAUGGCAAAGAUGUCUGUCAAAAUAUUUCAGUUUUCCAAAGUUAAAGACCGACGUAAAGCUGCAUCUGAUGAAAUGUUCAUGUCCUCAAUAUUCAUCAACAAUUACAAGAUGCUUCAGAUGGAGCACACAACUCUUCG